ensembl:lncRNA
UAAGCUUCAACUGCAAGAAAAAAUUAAACUCAAACCUUUCUAUUUAAAAAAAAAUAUAUAUGAAUUGUGUCAGAAUUUCCACACAUAAACUCAGAAUUGCACAAAUAAAAUAAAAAAUCUGAAUUAAGAGUUGUAAGAAAAAACUAUCCUGAGGCAGAAACAAGCUUCCAUAGUUAGCUCCAAAUGGUAGUAUAAAAAAUCUGCAUGAAGAUCCUUCAAAUUUUUCGAUUUGUGUUUCACAGAAAAAGAUGACAGCUAUUGGUUUGGAACGACGUGAGUAAAUACUGACAGAAAUAUAAUUUUGGUGUGAACUGUUCCUUUAAAUAUUUUGGUUUUCCAUACAGUGGAGCUUGUUUGUGGUUGUGGCUGGAAAUGUUUGUACCUGCAUAAAUUUUGCUCUCCCAUGAAUUCUAAUGCAUGCUCCCUAAUCAGAGUUUGCCUUAUAUCUUCGGGGCCAUGCCAUUUUGAUGAUCGCAUUACGAUGCCGCAACACUCACUGUGUUUAACGCGUUAUCUGUGUUGCCACGUUAGGAAAAUCUCCCUGAAGUUUCUUUCUUACUGGAGGGUAAAAAAUGCAUCAGCAUUGCAUCGGCUGUGUAUGGAGAUGGUGCCGCCUCCGCAGUGCAUUGACAUGCAAACCAGAUCCCACUAGAGACAUGGAGAGAAGUAUCAAACCGAGGACUGACUGAUGAAUGACUAAGGUUUGCUUAAAGGUUACCAUCUCUUCUUUUCGCUCUUUUUAUCGCUCUUUCUCUCUCCUGUCAUUCUCAUUCCCUCCUCCUGAUUAAUUCGUCUUGAUUAUAUGCCAUGAAAUUAUUUGGCGCAUGACACACACAUAUAACUCUGCUCUACUGAUGUAAUAUGAAGCAUGUCCGCUCACAUCAGUUCAGCGCUCAUUGACAGUUCUUUCCUAGUAUUUAGUAUCUAUUUUUGAAAUGCACUCGGACUAGCAUUAGUAUUGAUUGAGUCAUACUCUCAAUAAUACAUGUAUUUACAAAAUGCUGAGUUAAUCUUAUCCAUUAGAUGUGGCCAGUUAAUAUAAAAUUAUGUAAUCACAUCAUUAUUUUUUUAAUGCUAUAACAAAGCUUGAUUGUAAGAAUUUUCAUGGGCCAGAGAGAUUGUGUCAUUCAUUGUGCUUUGGUUUACUGUAACAAAUCUAUCUAUCAGAAUCAGCAUUGGUCGCACGUCUAUUCAUUUCAACUGACCUUUUUAGAUGUUAUGAAUGCUUUUAGCUUAAAUUUUAUCACGAAAGUAUACAUAUAAGUAUACAUUAUUUAGCUGAUUGACAUUGCUAGACAGGGUUCUGUCGAAAUGGAAACAACUUAGUUUGUAAACAUCAGUUUGAAUGGAUUGAAAAAAGAAACAAAUCAAUACUGCUUUAUACCACAAGCCAUUGGUUUGCAGCAAAAGCUGAAAAGUUAGGAGCAUUUUUCUCAACAAUUUCCAGCAAAUUGCCCAUUUUGUGUAAUUUAUAUUUUUAUACAAUUUUAGCCUUUUGUCAUAUCCACCCCUGUAAUUUCAAUUUGAAUUCAUAACUGCACAAUUUAUGGCUUACGUUUGCAUUAGUGCACAAGAUCCUUUGUUCAACAUACAAAAGAGAUGAAAAAUGAUUGUCGAGCUCUGUACAUACUGAUACAUACACUACUAAAAAUAAAGAUUCCAAAAAGUGUUUUUUGCACCCAUUUUGGGUUCCCCAAAGAACCUUUCAGUGAGCAGUUCUCUGUCAGUUUUCUUAAAAGAAAGUUUUCUGUCCAUUUUCUCAGUAAAUAACAUUUUAAUAGUCUAAAGACCAUUUGCCCACUAUGAAGAAUCUUUUGUGGAUAUGGAGAUAAAAGUUUCUUCAUGGAACCAACAAAGUUUCCAAAAGUGUGUUUUUGCAGUGAUGCCAUAGAAGAACCUUUCAGUAAACAGUUCUUAAAAUAUUUUUUUUUUUCCAAGUGUGAAGAACAUUUCAUUAAUCUGAAGAACCAAAGAACCAUUUUCGCUUCUGAGAGGUUCUAUGGAGGUUCUUUGUGGAACCAUCAAUGCCAAUAAAGAACCUUUAUUUAAACCCUAAUAGCUUAUGGUGGAAAUCAGGCCACUUUAUGACAAUCAUCUCAUGGUCAAAAAGGUGGCCCAGUUAACCCGAAUUUACUUUAAACUUUCAUAGAUUUCCUGUUCGUAAUUCCUAUAGUUUCAUCCAAAAACUUUACAAACACAAGCUCCAAAACUCUUCAUAAGGAGAGCAAACAACAGUGUGCUGCUCUUGUGAAGCUCACGACUAUUAAAUGAGUCAGACACUCCCAACGAAACACAAGUCGGCACUUCACAUCUCCGUUCCCUUUGAAGCCAUUCAAAUAUAGAAUCAGGAUGACAGUCCUAAAGAUGGAUGACAUGGUUCAUUGUGACUCCGAGAGUAAACCAGCUUCGUUAUUUGAGAAUAUUCCGCACUCUCAGAUCCUUUUCCUUUUCUCCCCUGAUGAAAUAAGAGAAGCGAGAGAAAACAAAGAUGGCAAGAAAAAUACAUGUGAGUCACUCAGAAAGGACUCACCUAACAAGAUUUACAAAAAAAUAAAAACUAACAUAUAAGAUUUAACACAUCGGUAAGUGUCGGUAAGUCCACAUGGAGCAACUGAAGUGUUAGAUUCAAGUUUUGAGGUGUUUUUUUGAUAAUUAUUGUUAUGUAUUAAGUACAUAUGAAGUGUGAACCUCUUCAAUAGCAUCAGCAGACUUUGAAAUGUGAUCAUCUUUGGGAUGUUUUAACAAUGCUUCAGUCUGCUCUGAGGGCUAAAUUCACUUCCUCCCAGUGACAUCCUAUUAUGGUGGCCAUUUAAGCCCCAGUGACAAGGUCAAACCAAGAUGCUUUCACUCGUCACAUACUAAUCAAGAGAGGCGAGACGAUGGCUUUUGUGGAUUUUGACCACAACAAGACUUCAGUAUCCUCAAAUGAGACACUCUCCUAUUAUAAGAGCUCCGACCCUUAUUAAAUAUCUGACCUCAAAUAUUUCCAGGGCAGAAAUAAAAAAAGUGCAUGAUGAUUUGGCGACUCUUAUAUUUCUUUUUCAAAAAUGAAGACAGAGCAUGUUAUUUCCCUUGUCAAGAGAUAAUUUUCCUGCUUUACAGUCUUAUUUCUAGUGACUUGUAAAUUAAUUUGGAGCUGAAAUGAAGAAGCCUGGGGACGACCAUAGAGAGAAUGAUAUGUAAAACUCAUGCUGCUUAUUCUGUUCAUGGUGAAGUUCUGUCAAAGCGGUUUGCCGAGGCAAUCUCACGGGUCAGUGCAUGCUCUAAAUUACGUUACACAUCCUAAUUGCUGCCUGUAGCAAUUAGAGCCGAAAUAUGGGUGCAAUAAAAUUAAUAUGUAGCCUUUGUUUGACUGGAGAAAUUUUGUUUGUGCACUAACCUGCUGGUAUUUAUAGAAGCCAUUUGACAUGUUGGUUCGCAUUUGGAUUCAGCAUUGACUUGCGGCUCAGGCGAGUGCACAAUGUGUUGCUAUUAUACUUUUGUUUUUCCCUAAAUACUGCUUAUUUUGUGUUUUCCCUUUUCUGUAGUAGGUGCAAGUAAACCUCUUAUUAACUCCUAAACACCGUAGCAAUAAGUACAGAGCUGCCAGAGAGAACAGUGCAAGUCUGGAGCAGUUUGGAAGAGGAGAAAACCAGCUAAAGAAGGAUAAUUAUAGAAUCUUGUGGCCAAAUGCCAGAGAAAACAUGUUUUUGUUUGUCUUCUGUGCCCCUUUGAGAGGAAGGGAUCCUGAAUGUUUGGAAUAGGUCGGCAGACUGUGGGUUUUUAAACUCUCUUGCCUAAUCACGUCGGAAAAGAUCAAAUAUUCAGGACAGAAGGACAGCCUUUUCCUCGCCCACCAUUUCUCUGGAUAUCAAACACAGGAAGAGCUGAAGAAGAGAAAAUGUCAAGGGGCCAGAGUUUCGUUUGAAUCUAACUUCUGUAAUUAUCAAGGCUAAUUUAAGGUUGCUAUUUUCCAGCACUUGCCAGAAUGUAAAAAUCAGUGUUUAGUGAGGCAAGUGAAAUGUUGAACUAAAUGUUACUAAUGUUGACUUUCAUUUGACUGAAAAACUGAAGAUAAUAAUUAGGCUGAUGAUUAAUAAAUACAAAUAAACUAAUUUUAUGUUAUGCCUGGUUGCUGCCUUUCUCCAUUACCACUGCCACUAGUUAAUCACUGACAUAAAUGCCUCA